rnacentral:lncRNA from 1 species
GGAAGUAAUAGAGGCAAACCUUCCAAUUUGUCACUUCCUCUUGCAUCGGUCUGAUGAUGAGAAGGACACUGCUCUCCACUAGGACCUGGAGCUGAAAAGAGAUCCCACUGGCCAGGCUGCUCUUGAGGAGAAAGAGGAUGGACCAGUUGAAAAUCACUGAAAAUGUGACCCAGAAAAAUGAAUCACAUCAGGCUGCAAAGGCCUAUCGGAUCCUCAAGGCCAUCCACACUACCCUGGCUCUCUUGGCUCUUGCCCUGGCUGUGGCCCUGACGGUUAUGACUCUUCUGCGUAAGUUCCCCAUUCAAAGGGCUCCAGGAAACAAACCUCUUUCUUUGAUCAGGUGGAGAUAAAACACCAGAGCAAGUCCUGGGAAGGAGAAGGGUCUGGAGUCUUUAGACCAACUCCUGUCAUGGGUUUGGGAGUGGAAGGGGUGGGGUGGGGAGCAGGCACAGUAUUGACCCCUCUUUAGCUUCUCUGGAAAGGAAAGGAAUCAUAGGCAAAGGGGAUUCUAAAGAAUCAAUCAGUUGGUCUUUAGCUGUACCUACGAUGAUGUGCAAGGCACUAUGCUAAGCGCUGGGGAUGCAAACAUGCGGAAAGGAAUCCUGCCCUCCGGGAGCUGACAAUCUAUCAGGAGAAACAGCAUCCACUCAUGAGAACAUACCAAAACAAACAAAAAUACAAAAAGGAAAUGUAAGGUAAAUUGUGGUUCUCCAUGGCAGGGUGGGUGUAGGUGAGGUGCUAGCAGCUGGGGGUGGGCCAUGGGAAUCAGGAAAGAACUCCCAGGGAAAAGGAAGGCACUCGGAAGAGAGUUAUACAUUCUAAGGGGAAGAGAGGGGGUGAUAAAGGCACACUGAUGAGCGUGCCAUAUGUGAGGAACAGUAAAAAGGGCAGUUUAGAAUACCUGGAUCUGGCCAGAGAGAUGAUGUGGGGCCAGCAGCCCUGGGCUGACGAGGCAGGGGUGCUCCAUGGAGUUUCAGAAAGAUCUGGAUAUGAGACUUGCCUCUGAGGCCUUCUAGCUACGUGACCAUGGACCCUAAAAAAUUAAGCCAAGCUAAUAUUUUCUUUUGUUAGCUAUAAAAGGGAGAUAGUAUUGUCAUAGAGUUCAAAUAAAAUAAUACGAUAGAAACCA